AAACAAAUAAAUUAUUGGAUUAAUUGCAAAGUUAAUUACAUAUACAACAGGCUAAAUAUAUACAGAAGGAUCAGAAAAGACAAACUGUCUGCUGACAGUAGCCUACUUUGUUCGCGAACCAGUGCCUUAAAAUCCAUAGCGGAACAAAACCAGCAACUGUAAUACAAGCAAUGAAAAGAAUUGUUUUCAGAAAUUUCUUUUCUUUCAACAGGCGUAGUUUUUCAGCAUGAUUUCCAUUCGAUGCGUUCCGUUCAGUUAUGUUUCUCGACUGUUUUUUCAAAGCGAUGCAAAUUGAAGCGUAUGCGAUCGACGAUAACAACAGUAGCGCCACAACCAAGCCUCCGUGCACUAACUCUUCAUAGUUGUGUUCAAAUCCAAAAAUAAAUAGUUUUGAAGAAUAGGAAAUGCUUAUGAGCCAAACGCAUGAUAACCAAAUUGCCAUCACUUUCCCUUUUAUCCAAUAACGAUGUUUAAGAGGAUAGACAACCAUGAAAAGUCGAUCAAUUGAAAUAGACGCAAUAGUCAAACAAGACACGUUUGCAAAACAACGAUUAAGAAGGUGGAAGGUCGAAGACAAGUCUUGGACAUCGUGAUUCAAAAACUGAAAUGUCAAGGUGAAACAAACCAACAAAUCUGAAAUUGCAAGAUUGAUAACAAACGACAUUACCAAAUUUUUGAAAUAUUUUAGAGGAUCUUUUAGAGAAGCAUAGAGAAGUAAUAAAUGUAGGAUCACUCCACAAAUGUAGAUGAAAAGUUGAGCAAAAAUCAUGGCACUGCUUUCAAAAAUGUCUUUCUUUUCUUGCGAUACCAUUUUUAAAGUGUUCUCGUUAUCUGCAGAACUAUAUUAAACCUUUUGAAAAUUAAUAUUGUAUUAUG